AGUGAUUUUGAAAGGCUAUGGCUUCCAUAAUGCAAAGAGGGUGGACCAGAUCAUUUGCAGAUUCAAGACUGCUGCCAAGAAUGUCAUCAAUGAGCGUGCAAUCAGGAUGAACAUGAACACUAUAAUUUGUCCUAUGCCGCAGAAACUGAAGCCUAAACAGAGCAUCUCUGUGGAAGUCAGCCUGAACAAUGGGCAGAACUUUCUCUUCCGCAGCAUCAGAGUGCCGGUCAACCCACCCUGCAAUCGACCUACACCCCCACCACCGACAACCACAACGACUACGACCACUACCACGAC